rnacentral:rRNA from 1 species
UACGUAGGGUGCAAGCGUUGUCCGGAAUUAUUGGGCGUAAAGCGUGCGCAGGCGGUGAUGUAAGACAGGUGUGAAAUCCCCGGGCUUAACCUGGGAACUGCAUUUGUGACUGCAUCGCUGGAGUGCGGCAGAGGGGGAUGGAAUUCCGCGUGUAGCAGUGAAAUGCGUAGAUAUGCGGAGGAACACCGAUGGCGAAGGCAAUCCCCUGGGCCUGCACUGACGCUCAUGCACGAAAGCGUGGGGAGCAAACAGG